GCGGCGUUCUGGAGGGAGGCCGGCGCCGGGAGCCCCAGAUCAGCUGGGGCCGGGGGCGCAGCGCCUCCCCUGUGCCUCGCAGGGGGGAUCCAGUCCAGCUUUGCCACUCUUGCGGGCGUCCCCGAGACUCUGGUCCAGUGCCUGGGCACAAGAGCCCUUAAGACCCUGCGGUCCUAUUUGCUUCUUGCCGUGCUGGAAAGGACGGGUCAGUGCUUCCUCCAGGCCCAGGCCUGGCCUCCCUGCGACUGUGCGCUGCCGCCUGUGAAGUGCGGGACCCCAAAGGGCUCCCACCGCCGCUUUGUUCACAGGGAAGGGAAACUGGGGCGCAGCUCAGGAGGACACCUACCCUCUUCCAGAGCAAGUUUGGAGUCUCAGGGGUCCCGCAGGACCGGAGCCAGGAUUGAAGAACUUUGAUACCCCUCCUCCUCAAUCCUCGGAGGGCUUGGUGCCCACACAGCUCGCAUUCCUGAAAGAAGCUUCUUCUGGCUUCUCCACACACCCUGUGGUUCCCUGGGAACAGGGGAGGGGGAUGGAGGUGGUGCUCCCCGGGUGUCUGGGGCCCUGCAACCAGGCAGGUGUCUUCCAUCUAUUUCUGUGUCCAGGAUUCAUGUGUUUUUCAAAGGCUGAUGGAAAUACUGAGAUCUAAAAGCAUUUUGAUUGGUACCAAAUGCUGAAAAUAAAACUCCAAAAUAAAAUUUAAAAGUUUAU